rnacentral:rRNA from 1 species
AUUGAACGCUGGCGGCAGGCCUAACACAUGCAAGUCGAGCGACGGGCGGACGGGUGAGUAAUAUCUGGGAACCUGCCUGCUGGAGGGGGAUAACUACUGGAAACGGUAGCUAAUACCGCAUACCAUCAGAUGUGCCCAGAUGGGAUUAGCUGGUAGGUGGGGUAAUGGCUCACCUAGGCGACGAUCCCUAGCUGGUCUGAGAGGAUGACCAGCCACACUGGAACUGAGACACGGUCCAGACUCCUACGGGAGGCAGCAGUGGGGAAUAUUGGACAAUGGGAGCAAGCCUGAUGCAGCCAUGCCGCGUGUGUGAAGAAGGCCUUCGGGUUGUAAAGUACUUUUAGCAGGGAGGCGGUACCCAAAGAAUAAGCACCGGCUAACUCCGUGCCAGCAGCCGCGGUAAUUC